AUGAAUGCACUUCAGAGCUCCAUGACCAUGUAGAAUGUGUCCAUUUAGUACCAUUUGUUCUAUUUUCAAUAACAGCCUCUGUCCCGGAGGAAAGACUAACAACCCAAAGAAUCAUCCCCAAGAAACUAUUUGGCACAUUCCAUGGUGCAAGAAAAUAGAUUGUAGAGCCAAAUCUUUGAUGACUGAACCAGUUGGAAUCUUUCUCCGUGGAAGGAAUAUGUCGAUUUC
rnacentral:lncRNA from 1 species